GAUGAACGCUGGCGGCGUGCCUAAUACAUGCAAGUCGAGCGAACAGACGAGGAGCUUGCUCCUCUGACGUUAGCGGCGGACGGGUGAGUAACACGUGGAUAACCUACCUAUAAGACUGGGAUAACUUCGGGAAACCGGAGCUAAUACCGGAUAAUAUAUUGAACCGCAUGGUUCAAUAGUGAAAGACGGUUUUGCUGUCACUUAUAGAUGGAUCCGCGCCGCAUUAGCUAGUUGGUAAGGUAACGGCUUACCAAGGCAACGAUGCGUAGCCGACCUGAGAGGGGGAUGGCCCAACCGGGAACCGAAAACGGGUCAGAACCCCAAGGGAGGGAAAGCGAGGGAAAUUUUCCGCAAGGGGCGAAAGCCUAACGGAGAAACGCGGGGGGAGGAAAAAAGUUUUUGGAACUGUAAAACUCUGUUAUUAGGAAAAAAAAAAUGUGAAAGUAACUAUGCACCUCUGGACGGUACCAAAUAAGAAAGCCCCGCCUAACCACGU
rnacentral:rRNA from 1 species